rnacentral:rRNA from 1 species
GACGAACGCUGGCGGCGUGCUUAACACAUGCAAGUCGAACGGAAACGCCCUGCUUUUUUGGGGUUCUCGAUUGGCGAACGGGUGCGUAACACGUGUGUAACCUGCCCUUGACUUUGGGAUAACUUCAGGAAACUGGGGCUAAUACCGUAUAGGAGCUCCUGCUGCAUGGUGGGGGUUGGAACGUUUCGGCGGUUGGGGAUGGACUGGCGGCUUAUCAGCUUGUUGGUGGGGUAGUGGCUUACCCAGGCUUUGACGGGUAGCCGGCCUGAGAGGGUGACCGGCCACAAUGGGACUGAGAUACGGCGCAGACGCCUACGGGAGGCAGCAGUGGGGAAUAUUGCACAAUGGGCGGAAGCGGGAGGAAGAAACGCCGCGUGCGGGAUGACGGCCUUCGGGGUGUAAACCGCUUUCGCCUGUGACGAAGCGGGAGUGACGGUAAUGGGUAAAGAAGCACCGGCUAACUACGUG